GUACCACUGAAGAGUCCCAAACACGGACGAAACAGCUUUCCAGUAU
rnacentral:hammerhead_ribozyme from 1 species